GAAAUGGUCUUCUUGAAAAUUACAAAUUAGACAAUCUUCAGAUUAGAGAGAAAGGUUUUUUUCCAAGUGUUUCAGUUCAUAGUUCUGUAUGAAAUGCUACCCGUAUGACAAGAAUCGUUUACAGAGAUGAAGAUCUUUGUCCCUGGGUCAAGGGUGUUAGGAAAGAAUGUGUCGGAGGAUAACCAACAUGUAUGUUAGGCUCAUUUAGAUUCUUACAAGGGGAGAAAUGAUCACAUCGGGCAGUAUCUUUGUGAAGAAUGAAUUGUACCAGGAGAAGUUACAUGAAUUUGAACAAAGUAACGCAUUCUGACAGUGACUGCUAUCGAGCACUUUCUACACAUGUAGAUUGACGGAUGAAUUGUAAAUGGUGCUGUGAAUAAGAAGCUCUAUUCAGAAGUCUGAGCCAUGAAACUGAGACCCAGAUUUACCAACAAUUGCAGGCACUUCAAGGAAGAAGGCUCUGCAAAUACCCUUUUCUUUUUGGUUUGGAAGGGAUGGAAAACUGAGAGCUGCUGCAAUUGCCCAGGAAUGUAUUUUAAGAUGCCUCUUCCAGCCCAACUAUCAUUCUCCUUCCAGUCCAAAGUGUGGCAUCUGACAAUUAAAAUGCAUCCAUGGAGAAACUUUAAAGGCAAUUCUUCAGUAAAUUGGAGGAGGAUGUGUCCCCCUGUGAUUGUGAAGAAAUCUGGGACUGCUUAGAAUCAAUUUGUCAUAGCCUGUGAAUCCAUUAAGGUUUGGACCUGCAGUUGGACCUGCAGGAAAAUCCAGGAACAGUAACUUUUUUCAGAAGUUACUCCUUAAUCUCGUCAUCUACCUCAAGAAGUUGUGCUUUCUCUUUGGAGAGAGGGAAUUUUAUGAUUCUAUAGUGUCUUUUUGUUAGAAGUUUUUAGAUCAGCUGCAAGUGGAUGAUGCAGAGGCUCCAUGUAAUUCCUGUGAUAUGUGUUUUGACCACUUUUUCCACAAAAUGGAGAGCUGUGCAGUCAGGAGUAUUCAUGAGAUUGAAUUUACAAGCUGGUGAUCCAGAUCUCUACUGUUUGACAUCUUUGCAAAUUAUUCCCUUGGGCAUUAGCUUCCUAUGAUAUCAUCUUUAUUAAACAAUGAGAGCAGUAUUUCAUGAUAUCAUGCAUUUUUUUCUGAAGACUUGGCAUGUUCUCUAAAGUUAGGGCGAAUCUCGUGAAGAUACUUCAGAAGUAUGUGUUUUUUCCUUGAUAUUUGUUUAGACUUUGAACUUGCCCUUGAAAUGCUUGGUUUCUUAACACCUUUUAUCUGUAUGCUUCUUCUUCCUUUGUUAGAUUUAGGGACUUUCUGCAGAAUUAAGGUUUAAUCAAAAUAAGAACUUUUAAAAUAUGAGAAAUUGAGUGCACUUUGGCUUGAGAAGAUAUUAAGCUUACCUUCAAGUGAUCAAAAUCCGAAAUCAUGUAUGAGUUAAUGCUGUAUCUACAAAAAGUUUCUUCAGUGAUUGCAGUUGGUCUAUCUCUAGCACUGGUCAAGAUUUUUAUUUCUUUUUCUUUUUCCAUAUAGCAAUUAUCAUGAUGGUAGAAGUUUUAAAGUAAGAAACUGUGAUCUAAAAGAAAGCUUUGAUUUUAUUUAUUUAUUUUUUUUCCUUCAGAGACAAACAGGGGGAGAUCUUUCAUAUGACUAUACAUGCAAUUGUGAGAGAAACUAUCCAAUCAGAAAAUGCUGGUUUGUGGGAGAAAACAAGAUACUUAUGAUUGAAUGUCUCAUUGAAAAUCUUCUUUGUGGCUCAGGAUGCAAGAUUCUGUGAUGCUAUUGGAGUGAAAAUUCUUGAUUUAUUUUGCUUUGAAUAGUCUGUCCAGCAAGUAGGGAUGUGACCUUUGGUUAGAAUUCUUUCUUCCAUCCCUGACAAUGUAAAGUAAUGGAAACCAGUGAAAAGUAAUGAAAAUACCAGCGCAUUUUCACACGAACUGAGUGUUCUACUUCUGUCUCAGCUUUAUGUUAAUGGCUGAUUAUUGAGAGUUAAUUCUGCCACCCCAUUUACAAGAUAAAAUGCUUCUCAUUAUGAGUGAAUCCUAAACAAUGCUGUAAUCAAUACAAAUGAAAAGUUGGUCUGUCGCACUGGUGGCUAAUACUCACAUGAUAGCGAUUCAAAGUAUAUUCUUGUGCAUUUUGGUCAGAUCUUCAGCUGCUGAUUUCGCUCUGAUUUAGUUAUGUUCUUGUAUAAUGGUAUUCAUCAGAACAUCUGAGUUCAUUAAAUAAUGUGAUUUGUGUCAUGAGUUGAAUUUUUUUUUCUUUUUUUAUCUUAUCUUUACCCAAGGGAGAAAAUUGCUUGUGGGGAAGAUUGCCUUUGAACGUUCUGAUCCUUUAUUAUAUUUAUGGUACUACUCUCUGUGUAUUACUGUGUAUUUUAGUCUUCUCUAUAUCUGGACAAUCUGCACCAGUUUUCAUUGCUGGUUGUUAUGUUGUUGAAGACCUUAUUUCUUUGUAUCUCCCCAGCUGAGGUGCUUUAUGAGUGUUUUAUUUUUCUUUUGUACAAAAGUAAACUACUACAACUUCUUAUAUGAGGUUCAAUGCAGUAUAAGCACAGGUUUAGGAGUUAAUCCCAUUCAAUGUCAUAUUGAAAUAAAUGAAUGAAGAGCUCUGUUUUUUAGCUACUUUGGAAUGAUGCCAUAGUACUUGAAUGGAGUAUUGCAUCCCAAAUAUUAUAUUCACCAAAUUCAGUAUGUUUACACAUGAUUUCUACUAAUCGAGUUCUUUGGAAGAAGCUACUGAUACUUAGACUCUGGGAUUAAUUUGGAGCUGGGGCUGGUCGUGUUUCAGUUUGUCUUGAGGUCUCUAGAAAGAUCACAGUCUGAAAUAGGAGUGGAAAUAGAAGGAUGCUUAUGUGACUAUGAAUGAACAUAUUCCUCUGAAUAAACUUAGCACCAGUAUUCAUGAAAACGAAUUUCAAUAUCACUUGAAUGAAUAAAGUAUAAUGAGGACCAGGAGUUUCUGCCUUUAUUGAUACAAUUCAUUUUAAAGAUAUUAAAAUAAGUACUCCGCUGUUUGUGUAAAAAUAACUGUGUUGUACAGUGUACAGCUUGUGGAAUUCUUGUAUGGAAACUCUCAUUCAGCAUCCUUCUGCAACUUCCAGUGUAUGUCUGUGUAACAAAAUUUUGGAUUCAUAAUGUGGUCAUGUGAAAGAGAUCAAAAAUAUGGUUUUACUAUCGAAAGGAUAGACUGGUCGUGAGUCUCAGAUGUGUUUAUAUCCAUGGCUACUCUGCCAAAAUCUCAGUUACUUAAAAUAAAUAAAAUAAAAUCUGUGUUAUUUUAGGCUCUCAAGAUUUAGAUUCCUAGGAAGAAAUAAAAACCAUUUCUGUGAAAUGGAAAAUGAAGGAAGAAGUACGGCAUUGGAAAAAGUUGAUGGACAACAAGAAGGGAUCAUUUUGAUUUGUUCUCAUUUUAUGAAGCAUAGAUUUUACAAAUGUAUGGAUUUUGUGGUAUUAAAGAAGAGCCUAUUAGCUACAGCUGAUCUAAAUCUCAAACAUUCUGAUGCUAUCAGUGAAACAAAAAUACUUUGGUGUUUUUUUUUGCUAUUAACAUUAUAGAAAUCUUCAUAUAUGGGUGUGAAAUCUUUUUAA